UACAGAGGUCUCAAGCGUUGUCUCGGAAGUCACUGGGCGUAAAGGGUGCGUAGGCGGGUCUUUAAGUCAGGGGUGAAAUCCUGGAGCUCAACUCCAGAACUGCCUUUGAUACUGAAGAUCUUGAGUUCGGGAGAGGUGAGUGGAACUGCGAGUGUAGAGGUGAAAUUCGUAGAUAUUCGGAGGAACACCAGUGGCGAAGGCGGCUCACUGGUCCGGUACUGACGCUGAGGUGCGAAAAGCUAGGGGAGCAAACGGG
rnacentral:rRNA from 1 species